rnacentral:rRNA from 1 species
GUGAGUCAUCGAAUCUUUGAACGCACCUUGCGCCCCUUGGCAUUCCGAGGGGCACACCCGUUUGAGUGUCGUGAAAUUCUCAAAAACCCUUCCUUUGGUGGAAAGGAUUUUGGACUUGGAGGCCUUUUGCUGGUUUCACCUUGAAGCGAGCUCCUCCCAAAUGGAUUAGUGGGGUCUGCUUUGCCGGUCCUAGACGUGAUAAGAUGUUUCUACGUCUUGGGUUUCUGCACUGUACCUCUGCUUCUAACCGUCUCAUUGACAAUGAUGGUGUUCCGGUCACCGCCGAUUUAUCGGUUGGGAGGCUUGACCCACAAAACGACCUUGACCUCAAAUCGGGUGAGA